GUGCCACCCAGCCGCGGUAAUACGUAGGGUCCAAGCGUUAAUCGGAAUUACUGGGCGUAAAGCGUGCGCAGGCGGUUGUGCAAGACCGAUGUGAAAUCCCCGAGCUUAACUUGGGAAUUGCAUUGGUGACUGCACGGCUAGAGUGUGUCAGAGGGGGGUAGAAUUCCACGUGUAGCAGUGAAAUGCGUAGAGAUGUGGAGGAAUACCGAUGGCGAAGGCAGCCCCCUGGGAUAACACUGACGCUCAUGCACGAAAGCGUGGGGAGCAAACAGGAUUAGAUACCCUGGUAGUCCACGCCCUAAACGAUGUCAACUAGUUGUUGGGGAUUCAUUUCCUUAGUAACGUAGCUAACGCGUGAAGUUGACCGCCUGGGGAGUACGGUCGCAAGAUUAAAACUCAAAGGAAUUGACGGGGACCCGCACAAGCGGUGGAUGAUGUGGAUUAAUUCGAUGCAAACGCGAAAAACCUUACCUACCCCUUGACAUGCCACUAACGAAGCAGAGAAUGCAUUAGGUGCUCGAAAAGA
rnacentral:rRNA from 1 species